AUACGUAGGGAGCGAGCGUUGUCCGGAUUUACUGGGUGUAAAGGGAGCGUAGGCGGGAGUGCAAGUCAGAUGUGAAAUACAUGGGCUCAACCCAUGGGCUGCAUUUGAAACUGCAUUUCUUGAGUGAAGUAGAGGUAAGCGGAAUUCCUGGUGUAGCGGUGAAAUGCGUAGAUAUCAGGAGGAACACCGGUGGCGAAGGCGGCUUACUGGGCUUUUACUGACGCUGAGGCUCGAAAGCGUGGGGAGCAAACAGGAUUAGAUACCCUGGUAGUCCACGCUGUAAACGAUGAUUACUAGGUGUGGGGGGACUGACCCCUUCCGUGCCGCAGUUAACACAAUAAGUAAUCCACCUGGGGAGUACGGCCGCAAGGUUGUAACUCAAAGGAAUUGACGGGG
rnacentral:rRNA from 1 species